AUCACCCCAAAACUACUUCACUCCUAUUUUGAUCACUGAUAAAGACAUUGAACUGCGUUAGCUCCUUUGAAGCCAUUAAAUAACCCAUUAGAAGAGAGUAGAAACAUGUUGGUGUAGCUGCUAAUUGGUUCGCAGAGCAUUUGAUACAGUUACUAUCAUCAGUGCUAUCGCUUGUCCCCCAAGUUGUGUUAUACUGACAAAGAGGAAGGAAUGUGAUGUUCAUUUUCCUCAAGGGCAUCUCUUAGCCAUGUAAGCUGACUUCUUUAUUGAUUGGUACUUGUCAAUAAGUAAUCAGAAGCCUAGGGAUUGUCUCUCACUCAGUCCAUCCCAGAUCAUUUCCCCA
rnacentral:lncRNA from 1 species